rnacentral:pre_miRNA from 1 species
GCUACCCCGUGUGACUUGCCCAGUUAGGAAUUUGGGCAGGUCAUGCCGGGUAGUCAC